ensembl:snRNA U6 U6 spliceosomal RNA
GUGCUGUCUGCAACAGCACAUUUAUUGAAAUUGGAAUGAUAUAGAAAAGCUUAGCAUGGCCUCUGCCCAAGAAAGGGCAUGCCAUGUUGGGAAGCAUUCCAUAUUUUC